GAUGAACGCUAGCUACAGGCUUAACACAUGCAAGUCGAGGGGAAACGACAUUGGAAGCUUGCUUCCGGUGGGCGUCGACCGGCGCACGGGUGAGUAACGCGUAUCCAACCUGCCCACCACUUGGGAAUAACCUUGCGAAAGUAAGACUAAUGCCCAAUGACGUUGAAAGAAGACAUCGGAAUGGGAUUAAAGAUUUAUCGGUGAUGGAUGGGGAUGCGUCUGAUUAGCUUGUUGGCGGGGUAACGGCCCACCAAGGCUACGAUCAGUAGGGGUUCUGAGAGGAAGGUCCCCCACAUUGGAACUGAGACACGGUCCAAACUCCUACGGGAGGCAGCAGUGAGGAAUAUUGGUCAAUGGGCGAGAGCCUGAACCAGCCCAAGUAGCGUGCAGGACGACGGCCCUAUGGGUUGUAAACUGCUUUUAUAAGGGAUAAAGUGAGUCUCGUGAGACUUUUUGCAUGUACCUUAUGAAUAAGGACCGGCUAAUUCCGUGCCAGCAGCCG
rnacentral:rRNA from 1 species